AUCAAUCUUAUUUGUUAUACCUAUACUUUUAAAAAAUGAUCCACACAGUUUAUGGGUUAUUUUUACUGGACCCGCGGCUGAUUGGACUUCAAAAGGACAUCUAAGUUUACUGGAAUUCCUUGAAAGUUUUUCACACACAAAAUUUUUAUUAGCUCCUGUAUCUAUAAGGAACUUUAAGGUACCCCCAUUUUUUAAGGUGAGUUCUAGAUGGGGUAAACUAGAGAGGCGUCUGUCAUAAAAUUUAUUUCUUCGCACUUUCCACCUUCAGUAAAUUCUUGGUCCUCUGUUUGAAUAUUAAAUAAUUUUGGGUGUUUCCUAGGAAUAUUUGAAGAACUGUUGGAUGGCUUUACUAAAGGUAUAUUUACCGGUCGGUUCAUAUAAUUUAUUUUUUGUGAAUGUAUUGAAGGGUCUACCUCCAUCGGGACCGCAGGCUUGGGUUGGGUUGGCCUAGGUGGAGGUAGCACUUGAGUUUAAAUAUUUUUAUUAUAGAUUUGAUUUUUUUCGAACGAGUUUAAUUCCUUUGGUACAAAUACUUGUUUUUGGUUCAUUUGGUUUCUUUGCGUUUGGCUUAAGCUACCUAUAUUCCUUGGGUUGAUUGAAUAGUUUCUUAGGUUAAUGUUUUGUAUUUCAAGACAGGAAGCGUAUGCUUCGGGUAAGUUCUUGGGUCGUUGGAUGACUAGCAUCCUGGAUAGUUCACCGUUUAGGCCUCUGAUAAAUACGACAAGGGCUCGGUUCCUAUAAGUUUCUAGUAGCACGCUACUAGUUUCUCUGGAAUAGUCCUGUCCCUUUAUUUUAUUGAUUAUCAAAGAUAAUUGGUGAUUAAUUCGAGCAUAGAACUGCUCUACGCUAAAGUGCUUUUGAGAUAAGGAUCCUAGUUCGUGUUCUAGGAUCCUUUGGUCGCGUUUGUCUGCGUAGUGCAGUGACAAACAACUCUUGAUUGUCCCCCAGUCGUCAUCAAAUAUAUUAUAUGAUAUUAAGGCCGUAUCCGCAGGACCUUUCAAUUUUUGCCUAAUGUGCCGUAAGAUGGCUCUAUAGAGUGGCUUCGUCCUUAUCACCUCAUAGUCCUGUAAAAUAGAUUCUACAUUGUGGAUCCAGGAGAUAAAUUGGAUCGGGUCUCCUUCGAAUGUCGGUAGGUUCUUUAAACUAUCAGGCAAUCUGCUAAUUUCGGCUAGGUCUGCCUCUGUUAAGUGAAUAAGGUUAUUUGAUUUAUUCUAUUGUUCAAUAUCUUAGCUUGCUCGAUUUGCGCGCUUAUAGCGCCUGUCAAGUGUGUGAUGGCUUCUUGUACUUGCUCCAUACUGAGGCUCACCAGUUUUUACAAUUUUUUCUAUUGCUAAUUGUUAUAAUCUUGCUCUUAUUACAAUUUAUUUUAAAUUGCUCAAUACAUAAAUUUGAUUACAAAAAGGUGAAUAACUUAAUUUUAAAUCUUACAACAGUAUCGGGAGUAUCAGCUUCUGCAUCCUGAUUUCGGGCGGUCCACUUGUUCCUUUUUGAGGUGUUUUACUCCGCUACUUGGGACUUGAUGACGUCACAGUUCAGGAUUUGAUUGUUGUCUUGGUGGUUUUGCACUUUUGUCUACACAGUUGAAUAUGCUGCGAGAAUAAUUUUCUCAGUUACACAGUUAUUAUUGUCGCAUUAGAGUCACUUUGAGCACUUGGUGUUAUGUCAGCUUUUCUACGUUGAUUCCUUCUUGUUUAGGGGCAACAAUAGUUUUUAUUAAUGCACAGUUUUGAGUCUCUUUGAGCACGUUUUUAGAUAACAGCAGUUUUGUUAAGCUGCUUAGUUACUUACACGCGGAUAAAAGAAGUUUUAUCAAUGUGCGUUUAGAGUUACUUUAAACACUUUGUUUAGAUAACAGCAGUUUCCUAACGCUGUUUUUUUCUGCUCGCGGGCAACAACAAUUUUAUCAAUGCGCGAUUUUGAGUUUUCUAACGCUGCUUUUUUCAACCGAUAUAGACAAUUUAAAUUUGAAGUCUCGGGCGUCAGUUAAUGCUGCCCACCAAUAAUAUCAACACGCACCUUUGCUGCUGGCAAAAAUUGAACUCUCUUUAUUCAACAAAUUUACUUAGUUUUUAUAAUCAAAUUUUGCUUACUUACUAAAAACUUACAUAUGUACGAGUUCUUACUAGCUAGAACUUAUUUCUAUACAUCAAAUAAUCAUAACGUAAGCUAAAACCAGUGCGAACCUCAGUUUGGUUGUGAAACGGCUCACAUUGCGGCGGCACGGUUUCCGCUUGUUAUAGUGCCGACGAAAUGUGUUUUUGUUAUUGCAAUUUUUGGAAAUUAAUUUUAUUUGAUUUAAUUUUACUUGGCAUCAAAAUAUCGGUAACAUUCGUCGGUGCUGUGGAAUCAGCGGCUUCAACCACAACCGCUACCUCGUCCGUUAGUCGUCGCAUCGUCGUUGACCAUAAAAUACACUUGUAAAAAUUGUGGCUGUUCAUUAAGUAUUGGCAACAGAGAUCCAAUUUUGUGGUUUUCUUGGCCCCGCACUGUGAACGUCGUGGAAAAUAAUGAUACCAUAUGAAAGCAUUCGUUGUAUUUUUUUACACAGUUUAGGAACUGUCGAGAUUUAUCAGUUUCACCCGUGGCUACUGUAAUCCAAUGUUGCGUUCUAUUCAAAACCACAUGUUUCAAAUACGCUCUAAGAAUUUCAGACCCCUGACCUAUACGCUGUGCGUUUGCCUUACUCCGAAAAGCUGUUUCAUCAGAUGUUUCUGAUGCACCCUGAGAAGCUAUUUGCAUAGCAUUUCCCCUGACGUCAAGCAUAAACUUGUACAAAAGUUUCUCUAGCUUAGACUUCUGCCUGAAGUGCAGCUUGCUCACGUCUAAGAAAGAUUCCAUUUACGUUGCGAAUCAUAACUAGGUACUCAAAAAAAAAUGUCAAAAAUAACUUAAACCUAAAAAUAUGUAUGAAAUAUGAAUCUAUCGAAACAGCUAUAGAACUUGUGGCUAAAAUAUUGCCACUAUUAAUAAUUUUAUCUAAAUCCAGUUGAAUAACAAAAAAUAACUCAGUAAUAUAAUUGUAUGUAUGUACAUAUGUGCAAAAGUGUUUAAUAGAUGGUUUAACAGAUGAUUUCCGUAAAUAUUGAAGUGAUUUGAGACGCCCACUAGAGGCAUGCCAUAAACACGACUAUGAACAUGGAUCACUCAUGGCAGGGAUGGGCACAUUUUUAGCCCGCAAAGUUGGCAAAGUGCGCACGAGGGCUAGUUGAGGGGAAUAUCAGUUUACGGAGGGAAGGGCAUAAGAAGUUUCGAAAAAAAAUCAAUUACGUUUCUCCGUAACUUAAUGUUCAUCGAAGAAUCAGAGAUAAAGAGAUGUUUAACUCCUCUCUCACUGGAAGUGAGAGAGCAAUUGCUAAACGUCAAAACCACCUAAACUUCGACAGUUGAUCGAGUUCAGGAGGUUUUGACGUUUAGCAAUUGGAAAAGAGGGACGACCAGAUCAAAAUCUCGCCAAAUUAUUAUUCGAAGGAAGACAUUUUUCAUUUUUUGUCUCCAUUUGUAACGGCCAUUAGUUCGAAGAAUAGCGAAAGCGGAGCAGCACGUAAGUUAAAAGAUAUAAAAUGCAGAAAACAACCAGCAGUUGGAGAAAAUGUAUUGUUGGCUGCAACGAGGGAGGAAGAACAUUUAGUUUUUCAAACAGUGGAACGGAUCUCGAACGUAGAGUCCUACAACGUAGCAGCAAACUAAAAUUAUUUUCUCGGGACAUUAUAUGGAUUGAGUAAAAGUAAAUGCAGUAAAUCAAUGGGUACUUUAUGGCAUCAAAAUAUCGGUAACAUUCGUCGGUGCUGUGGAAUCAGCGGCUUCAACCACAACCGCUACCUCGUCCGUUAGUCGUCGCAUCGUCGUUGACCAUAAAAUACACUUGUAAAAAUUGUGGCUGUUCAUUAAGUAUUGGCAACAGAGAUCCAAUUUUGUGGUUUUCUUGGCCCCGCACUGUGAACGUCGUGGAAAAUAAUGAUACCAUAUGAAAGCAUUCGUUGUAUUUUUUUACAAAGUUUAGGAACUGUCGAGAUUUAUCAGUUUCACCCGUGGCUACUGUAAUCCAAUGUUGCGUUCUAUUCAAAACCACAUGUUUCAAAUACGCUCUAAGAAUUUCAGACCCCUGACCUAUACGCUGUGCGUUUGCCUUACUCCGAAAAGCUGUUUCAUCAGAUGUUUCUGAUGCACCCUGAGAAGCUAUUUGCAUAGCAUUUCCCCUGACGUCAAGCAUAAACUUGUACAAAAGUUUCUCUAGCUUAGACUUCUGCCUGAAGUGCAGCUUGCUCACGUCUAAGAAAGAUUCCAUUUACGUUGCGAAUCAUAACUAGGUACUCAAAAAAAAUGUCAAAAAUAACUUAAACCUAAAAAUAUGUAUGAAAUAUGAAUCUAUCGAAACAGCUAUAGAACUUGUGGCUAAAAUAUUGCCACUAUUAAUAAUUUUAUCUAAAUCCAGUUGAAUAACAAAAAAUAACUCAGUAAUAUAAUUGUAUGUAUGUACAUAUGUGCAAAAGUGUUUAAUAGAUGGUUUAACAGAUGAUUUCCGUAAAUAUUGAAGUGAUUUGAGACGCCCACUAGAGGCAUGCCAUAAACACGACUAUGAACAUGGAUCACUCAUGGCAGGGAUGGGCACAUUUUUAGCCCGCAAAGUUGGCAAAGUGCGCACGAGGGUUAGUUGAGGGGAAUAUCAGUUUACGGAGGGAAGGGCAUAAGAAGUUUCGAAAAAAAGUCAAUUACGUUUCUCCGUAACUUAAUGUUCAUCGAAGAAUCAGAGAUAAAGAGAUGUUUAACUCCUCUCUCACUGGAAGUGAGAGAGCAAUUGCUAAACGUCAAAACCACCUAAACUUCGACAGUUGAUCGAGUUCAGGAGGUUUUGACGUUUAGCAAUUGGAAAAGAGGGACGACCAGAUCAAAAUCUCGCCAAAUUAUUAUUCGAAGGAAGACAUUUUUCAUUUUUUGACUCCAUUUGUAACGGCCAUUAGUUCGAAGAAUAGCGAAAGCGGAGCAGCACGUAAGUUAAAAGAUAUAAAAUGCAGAAAACAACCAGCAGUUGGAGAAAAUGUAUUGUUGGCUGCAACGAGGGAGGAAGAACAUUUAGUUUUUCAAACAGUGGAACGGAUCUCGAACGUAUUUUGUUGUGUGGUGUCUGGUUGGGAUGAUAGUGUACACAUAACUCACAUGAGGCUUCCUCAUAUCGUCCAAUCUCACUGUAGCCUACUCUGUCCUGUUGGCUAGUAGCAAUUCAUCAAUUUGGCUUUAGAUCUCAACAUUCUACUUACAAUCGAACAAGUUCAUCGGAUAAGGAGCAUAAUCGAAGAGGCAUAUUCCACAGAGAGCAUAUACAAAAAAAAGUUUCAGAACUAAAACUAAAAUGCAACAAAAUAAACUGGUUAAUCGGGAAGAAAUCACACUUAACAACAUCAAAUAAAAUCUUAGUCUAAAAUCAAAUGUUGAAACCUAUUUGGACAUACGGAAUAUAAAAACAAACCAACCAAUAAAAAUGGUUCGGGGAGUCGUUCGCGAAACGGCAUCGAAGCAUGCAAAAAGAUUACAAAAUCAUGUAAACACUAAAGCCCAACAACUAAGAGAGACUAGAAAUUGCAGAAGCACACUGAAAAGAACAUGAUCAUGAUCUAUUAAGAAUCUAAGAAAAUAAAAAAUAUCAUAAAAUUUAGUUAUUAAGUUUAAUUUAAAAAAAAGCUUCGUAUUACAGCUUUUUUGUUUUAUAUUAUAAAUUGUGAACAAUAUUGCUUAUUAGUUUGCAUUGUUACUAGUUGCAAUUUCAAUGAAAUGUAAAACAAGAAGUAUCAAAAAUACAAACUCACAAACAUUUUUC